CCUUGACGUGGUGGGGAGGCCCUAGUACCUGGAUGAUUAAUCCUUUUAGAUUUAUCCUUUGAGAUUUAUCCUAAAGGUUUAUUCUGAAUGGGAAGCUAAGUACCCAAGACGCGUCGUCGAUUUUUGAUGUGCCGCGCGCGGAUCGGCAUUCGCGUCACCGUCGCGUUUCGCGUAAUAUUUUGAUUUCUCGAUUUCGAGAGUAUCGUUAAAAAUACCGCGCGUACGAUUGCGGGAGUGCCGUUAAAAGUAUCGUUAAAAGUAUCGCGCACAAAAGUGCGGGAGUGCCGUUAAAAGUAUCGCGCGUAAAAGUGCGGGAGUGCCGUUAAAAGUAUCGCGCGUAAAAGUGCGGGAGUGCCAUUAAAAGUGUCGCGCGAGUAUUAGUCAAUUUUUAACAGUAUAACAGAGGAGGCCUAGGAGAGGCAUCGGGCACCAGACGGAUUAACUCUAUGAUCAACUUGACGAUCCUGCCAAUCUGAGAGGAGGAGGAGGCAUCGGGCAUCAGCGAAGCAACUUUAAAACAACGCGUAGCGUCGAUUUCAACAACUUCGCUGUUGUGCAUCGGUGCCGGGUAGCACCGAGAAACAUAGCACUGAAUUUUCCGCAAUUUAAACAACAAAACACGGAUUCAAGCGAUGCAAAUGUUGAUCCUGCGAGCUCGCUGAUCUUCGAAGUUACGUCUUUCAUGAACGAAGAUUUGUGGAAUGGAGAAGCCGAAUACAGAGUCCCGAGGUCGCGUUGCAUCUCGAUUCGCACCGGCGCCGGCUAAAGUGCAACAUGUGCUGGUCGCAUAAACGGGAGAAAGGGAAGGGAGGAAAGAGAGCUUUGAGGUCGGUCGUUUGGAAUUGCUCGAUUAAGGCCAUAGACUGCAGGCCCCGCUAUCAAAAGACUAUCGCACGAGAUAUGUGCAGUGAAAUGCAGUGAUGCAUCGAGAUUGCUGGUACGGAAGGGAUGUAUCCGCCCAAAGAUCGGUUGGAAGCUCGAAUUUUCGCCAAGUCCGCAGAAAAGUUCAUAUCGGAGUCUACGAAAAUCCUGAUCCUUUUUAUGUUACUCGCCCAAGUUUCGGUUAUAUGCGGAGACUUGGGAGAGAUAAAGUAUAUAAAUGGCUAUAUAAAGUAAACAAAAGUCACGGUGCAAAUCAUAAAGCAAGGAAAUAUUUAUCCUCCU